GGACGGCUUCGUGCUGGGCGGUUGCAUCAUCGAGGGUUCCGAGAGGCCGGCCGCGCGCGCUUGACCACGCGUCGCCGCGUCGCUAUCUUAUACUUUCAAUUGCCAACAACAACGGCAAUCUCGCUCUCGCCGCGUAAGCGCCGAUAGCGACGGACCCCGCGGUGCCCCGCUCUGAGCGCCGCGUACGGUCUGCAACCCGACCAGGGCUUACCCCCCGCCACGCCCGCGGGACGGGGGGGAAAUAUAGCGGGAUACGGAGGCGAUAGCGCGACGGCCCGCCGCCCGCCUCCCGACAACUUGAAUGGCCGCCUAAACCUGUAGAAGCCUUCCUUCCGCGUGUCAGGACGCGAGUUCGACUCUCGCCACCU
rnacentral:tmRNA from 1 species